rnacentral:rRNA from 1 species
AGCGAACGCCGGCGGUAGGCCUAACACAUACAAGUCGAACGGCAGCACAGUAAGAGCUUGCUCUUACGGGUGGCGAGUGGCGGACGGGUGAGGAAUACAUCGGAAUCUACUUUUUCGUGGGGGAUAACGUAGGGAAACUUACGCUAAUACCGCAUACGCCCUACGGGUGAAAGCAGGGGAUCUUCUGACCUUGCGCGAUUGAAUGAGCCGAUGUCGGAUUAGCUAGUUGGCGGGGUAAAGGCCCACCAAGGCGCCGAUCCGUAGCUGGUCUGAGAGGAUGAUAAGCCACACGGGAAGUGAGACACGGUCCAGACUCCUGCGGGAGGCAGCAGUGGGGAAUAUUGGACAAUGGGGGCAAGCCUGAUCCAGCCAUACCGCGUGGGUGAAGAAGGCCUUCGGGUUGUAAAGCCCUUUUGUUGGGAAAGAAAGGCAGCAGGUUAAUACGCCGCUGUUCUGACGGUACCCAAAGAAUAAGCACCGGCUAACUUCGUG